rnacentral:rRNA from 1 species
GGGGGGAGCAAGCGUUGUUCGGAUUUACUGGGCGUAAAGGGCGCGUAGGCGGUCAGCACAAGUCAGUUGUGAAAUCUCCGGGCUUAACUCGGAAAGGUCAACUGAUACUGUGCGACUAGAGUGCGGAAGGGGCAACUGGAAUUCUCGGUGUAGCGGUGAAAUGCGUAGAUAUCGAGAGGAACACCUGCGGCGAAGGCGGGUUGCUGGGCCGACACUGACGCUGAUGCGCGAAAGCCAGGGGAGCGAACGGGAUUAGAUACCCCGGUAGUCCUGGCCUUAAACGAUGGAUGCUUGGUGUCUGGGGUUUUAUAGUCCCCGGGUGCCGUAGCUAACGCGUUAAGCAUCCCGCCUGGGGAGUACGGUCGCAAGACUG